rnacentral:rRNA from 1 species
GACGAACGCUGGCGGCGUGCUUAACACAUGCAAGUCGAGCGAGAAACUUCGGUUUCUAGCGGCGGACGGGUGAGUAACACGUGGGCAACCUGCCUCACAAUGGGGGAUAGCCUUCCGAAAGGAAGAUUAAUACCGCAUAACACAAAGGAAACGCAGGUUUCUUUUGCCAAAGAAUUUCGUUGUGAGAUGGGCCCGGGGCGCGUUAGCUUGUUGGUGAGGGAACGGCUCACCAAGGCGACGAUGCGUAGCCGACCUGAGAGGGUGAUCGGCCACAUUGGAACUGAGACACGGUCCAGACUCCUACGGGAGGCAGCAGUGGGGAAUAUUGCACAAUGGAGGAAACUCUGAUGCAGCAACGCCGCGUGAGUGAUGAAGGUCUUCGGAUUGUAAAGCUCUGUCUUCUGGGACGAUAAUGACGGUACCAGAGGAGGAAGCCACGGCUAACUACGUGCCAGCAGCCGCAGUAA